rnacentral:piRNA from 1 species
AUGACUCGAUUCCCUUCAGC